GGAGGCAAACACCGAGCUCCCCCUGAGUCGCCUGGGAGCAGGGAGGGUUCUGCUACCCUGAGGGGCCCUCCCCGCGGGGCAGAGGGGUUUCUUCAGCAGUGCCCCGGAGCAGGGACUGCGCCAGCCAGCAGAAACAGCUAGUUGUUGUCUGCAGUGAAGAAUAAUUGGAAGCAUGGUGCCUGUUUCUUUUCCUGUGGGAGGAAGUCACAGCAUCUACUUCUGAAUCUGUGCUUGCCUUGAGGAACAACGGCAUGACACAAGAAUGUGGACGCUUUCAACCAGAGGAUUCUGUACGACAGUGUCGGCACACAAGGAGUGUUCCACUGACUGACCUCUUUUUGUUUUCAAAUGAAGAGGAGCCAAGAAUAGGACAGCUUGGGAAGGUGAGCUGCGUAUAGCUCGUCAGGCUGAGCUCAUCUUCGUCUACGGCCAAACGUUGGUUUCUCAUUUCUAGAAGAUGAAAGAUGUGAUGACUCAGGAAAAACUUGCUGCUCGAGAUGUGAGUCUUCAGAUGUUCCUGCCGCCAUAUCUGACAGCUGCUGCCAAGAUUCCCUGGUGGGAUGGACUCUUAUACCUCGACAACCAGAAGCCCAAGUAAACUCUUCUAUAAAUUGAAUGACUCAUGCUUAAAAAAAAAAAAAACU
rnacentral:lncRNA from 1 species